AACGAACGCUGGCGGCAGGCCUCAAACAUGCAAGUCUAGGGGGUGUAGCAAUACAUCACCGGCGGACGGGUGCGUAACACGUGGGAAUAUACCUUUCGGUACGGAACAACUGCGGGAAACUUCAGCUAAUACCGUAUACGUCCUAGCGGAGAAAGAUUUAUCGCCGAAGGAUUAGCCCGCGUUCGAUUAGCUAGUUGGUGGGGUAAUGGCCCACCAAGGCGACGAUCGAUAGCUGUUCUGAGAGGAAGAUCAGCCACACUGGGACUGAGACACGGCCCAGACUCCUACGGGAGGCAGCAGUUGGGAAUCUUGGACAAUGGGGGAAACCCGUGAUCCAGCCAUGCCGCGUGAGUGAUGAAGGCCUUCGGUUGUAAAC
rnacentral:rRNA from 1 species